CUUUGGAAACUGGNNNGCUGGAGUGCAGAAGAGGGCGAUGGAACUCCAUGUGUAGCGGUAAAAUGCGUAGAUAUAUGGAAGAACACCAGUGGCGAAGGCGGUCGCCUGGUCUGCAACUGACGCUGAAGCACGAAAGCGUGGGGAGCAAAUAGGAUUAGAUACCCUAGUAGUCCACGCCGUAAACGAUGAGAACUAAGUGUUGGGGGAAUAACUCAGUGCUGCAGUUAACGCAAUAAGUUCUCCGCCUGGGGAGUAUGCACGCAAGUGUGAAACUCAAAGGAAUUGACGGGGGCCCGCACAAGCGGUGGAGUAUGUGGUUUAAUUCGAAGCAACGCGAAGAACCUUACCAGGCCUUGACAUCCCGGGCAAGGGCGUAGAGAUACGCCGGAGGCUAUCCCGGUGACAGGUGGUGCAUGGUUGUCGUCAGCUCGUGUCGUGAGAUGUUGGGUUAAGUCCCGCAACGAGCGCAACCCUUGUGAUAUGUUACUACCAGUAAGAUGAGGACUCAUAUCAGACUGCCGGUGACAAACCGGAGGAAGGUGGGGAUGACGUCAAAUCAUCAUGCCCCUUAUGGCCUGGGCUACACACGUACUACAAUGGCGCAUACAAAGAGCAGCGAACCCGUGAGGGCAGGCGAAUCUCGCAAAGUGCGUCUCAGUUCGGAUUGAAGUCUGCAACCCGACUUCAUGAAGUUGGAAUCGCUAGUAAUCGCGAAUCAGCAUGUCGCGGUGAAUACGUUCUCGGGCCUUGUANNNNNCGCCCGUCAAACCAUGGGAGUUGGUAAUACCCGAANNNGGUGGCAUAAGCCAUUUAGGGAGUGAGCCGUCGAAGGUAGGAUCGAUGAAUGGGGUUAAGUCGUAACAAGGUAACC
rnacentral:rRNA from 1 species